GAUGAACGCUGGCGGCGCGCCUAAUACAUGCAAGUCGAGCGAACAGACGAGGAGCUUGCUCCUCUGACGUUAGCGGCGGACGGGUGAGUAACACGUGGAUAAACUACCUAUAAGACUGGGAUAACUUCGGGAAACCGGAGCUAAUACCGGAUAAUAUAUUGAACCGCAUGGUUCAAUAGUGAAAGACGGUUUUGCUGUCACUUAUAGAUGGAUCCGCGCCGCAUUAGCUAGUUGGUAAGGUAACGGCUUACCAAGGCGACGAUGCGUAGCCGACCUGAGAGGGUGAUCGGCCACACUAGAACUGAGACACGGUCCAGACUCCUACGGGAGGCAGCAGUAGGGAAUCUUCCGCAAUGGUCGAAAGCCUGACGGAGCAACGCCGCGUGAGUGAUGAAGGUCUUCUGAUCUUAAAACUCUGUUAUUAGGGAAGAACAAAUGUGUAAGUAACUAUGCACGUCUUGACGGUACCUAAUCAGAAAGCCACGGCUAACUACGUG
rnacentral:rRNA from 1 species